CUUGUCCUUAACCUUAAAUCUUAAACUCUAAAUAUAUAAUAUUUCGCUUCAGUUCAUGAGAUCGAAGUAGCUGAGUUGCACUUCCAGGCAAAGCAUUUGAUCAGUUCAAAAAAAUCAUUUUUCAAUUAUGGCUCCAUUCGUCUCUAAGGUCGAACACAAAUGGAAUGAAAGCAAAUUUGGUCGGUCGAAGAAGAAGGGGCAUGAAAAUGAAGCUCUUGAAAACAACAACUCACAUGGAAACAAAAUUAUAAGAACAAAAAAAAAAAGGAUAUGGCAGUUUAUUUCAACUUCUCUGUGUUGUCUCAAAGGAGGUCAACAAGCCUAGUAAUCAAUUUUCUAAGUGCACCUUUGCUUCAAAGGGAUGAAAAUUCAUGUGUGUGAAACCAGAAAUCAAUAUUUAUUGUUUCGCGAGUGAAACUACUUUUUAA